AAAAUCCGUUGGCUUUAUUGACCGUGAGGGUUCAAGUCCCUCUACC
rnacentral:tRNA from 4 species